UCCUGGUUGAGCCCCGUCCAAUUACGACAAAAAAGAUGCCAUGGGGCCAACAUGGUUGCGGCACGCCGGAGUGCAUAAUGUACCUCUACUAGCAAGCCGUUUGCUACUGC
rnacentral:rRNA from 1 species